UACGGGGGGAGCAAGCGUUGUUCGGAUUUACUGGGCGUAAAGGGCGCGUAGGCGGCCACCGCAAGUCGGUUGUGAAAUCUCUGGGCUUAACCCAGAAAGGUCAACCGAUACUGCGGGGCUAGAGUGCAGAAGGGGCAACUGGAAUUCUCGGUGUAGCGGUGAAAUGCGUAGAUAUCGAGAGGAACACCUGCGGCGAAGGCGGGUUGCUGGGCUGACACUGACGCUGAAGCGCGAAAGCCAGGGGAGCGAACGGG
rnacentral:rRNA from 1 species